rnacentral:misc_RNA from 1 species
GAUGAAGAACGUAGUGAAAUGCGAUAAGUAGUGUGAAUUGCAGAAUUCAGUGAAUCAUCGAAUCUUUGAACGCACAUUGCGCCCUUUGGUAUUCCAAAGGGCAUGCCUGUUCGAGCGUCAUUUGUACCCUCAAGCUUUGCUUGGUGUUGGGCGUCUUGUCUCUAGCUUUGCUGGAGACUCGCCUUAAAGUAAUUGGCAGCCGGCCUACUGGUUUCGGAGCGCAGCACAAGUCGCACUCUCUAUCAGCAAAGGUCUAGCAUCCAUUAAGCCUUUUUUUCAACCUUUGACCUCGGAUCAGGUAGGGAUACCCGCUGAACUUAAGCAUAUCAAUAAGCGGAGGA